GAAAGAGGGGAGGAAAGAGGAAGAGAAGAUGCCCGCCCACCGCCAGCUGCAUGCUACAGAGCGGUUAGAAAACCAGGAAGUCAAACCGGCCGUCUGUCUGUCUGUCUUGUCUUGUCCGCCUGUCCGUCUUGUCUUGUCCGCCUGUCUGUCUUGUCCGCCUGUCUAUCUUUCUGUCUGUCUUGUCUUGUCCGUCUGUCUUGUCUUGUCCGCCUGUCUGUCUUUCUUGUCUGUCUGUCUUGUCUUGUCCGCCUGUCUGUCUUUCUGUCUGUCUGUCUUGUCUGCCUGUCUUGUCUUUCUUGUCUGUCUGUCUUGUCUUGGCCGCCUGUCUGUCUUUCUGUCUGUCUGUCUUGUCUGCCUGUCUUGUCUGUCUUGUCCGCCUGUCUGUCUUGUCCGCCUGUCUGUCUGUCUUGUCUUGUCCGCCUGUCUUGUCUUGUCCGCCGGUCUGUCUGUCUUGUCCGCCGGUCUGUCUGUCUGUCUUGUCUGUCUUGCCUGUCUGUCUGUCUGUCUGUCUUGUCCGUCUGUCUUGUCUGCCUGUCUGUCUGUCUUGUCCGCCUGUCUGUCUGUCUUGUCCGCCUGUCUGUCUGUCUGUCUUGUCUGUCUUGUCCGCCUGUCUGUCUUGUCCGCCUGUCUGUCUGUUUGUGUUGUCUGUCUUGUCUGCCUGUCUGUCUGUCUUGUCCGCCUGUCUGUCUGUCUUGUCCGCCUGUCUGUCUGUCUUGUCCGCCUGUCUGUCUGUUUUGUCUUGUCCGCCUGUCUGUCUUGUCUGUCCGCCUGUCUGUCGUCUUGUCUUGUCCGCCUGUCUGUCUGUCUGUCUUGUCUGUCUUGCCUGUCUGUCUGUCUGUCUGUCUUGUCCGUCUGUCUGUCUUGUCCGCCUGUCUUGUCUUGUCCGCCUGUCUUGUCCGCCUGUCGUCUGUCGUGUCUGUCUUGUCCGCCUGUCUGUCUUGUCCGCCUGUCUGUCUUGUCCGCCUGUCUGUCUGUCUUGUCUUGUCCGCCUGUCUGUCUUGUCUUGUCCGCCUGUCUGUCUGUCUUGUCCGCCUGUCUGUCUGUUUUGUCUUGUCCGCCUGUCUGUCUGUCUGUCUUGCCUGUCUGUCUGUCUUGCCUGUCUGUCUUGCCUGUCUGUCUUGCCUGUCUGUCUUGCCUGUCUGUCUGUCUUGCCUGUCUGUCUGCUGUCUGUCCAGAGCC
rnacentral:lncRNA from 1 species